rnacentral:rRNA from 1 species
GACGAACGCUGGCGGCGUGCCUAACACAUGCAAGUCGAACGAGACCUUCGGGUCUAGUGGCGCACGGCUGCGUAACGCGUGGGGACCUGCCCUUAGGUUCGGAGUAACUCCCCGAAAGGGGUGCUAAUACCGGAUAAUGUCUUCGGGCCAAAGAUUUAUCGCCUUUGGAUGGGCCCGCGUUGGAUUCGCUGGUUGGUAGGGUACAAGCCUACCAAGGCGACGUUCCAUAGCUGGUCUGAGAGGAUGAUCAGCCACACUGGGAAUGAGACACGGACCAGACUCCGACGGAAGGCAGCAGUGGGGAAUAUUGGACGAUGGGGGAAAGCCUGGUACAGCAAUGCCGCGUGUGUGAGGAAUGCCUUAGUGUUGUAAAGCCCUUUUACCCGGGAUGAUAAUGACAGUACCGGGAGAAGAAGCUCCGGCUAACUCCGUG